GAUAGAUGUUUUUAUAUAUAUUUAGUAGGUUCAGAAAUUGUCCACAUCAUUUUUGUGACUUAGCAGUUGGUCUUCUUCUGUUAGAGGAUGAAUGAAUAAAUUAUCUGUCAUGGCUCCUUUGAGAGUUAGGGAUCUAGAACAGAAAUGGGGAGAUUGCCCAUUUCUGACCUCUCUUCUGAUGUUUCCAGCCAGGCGUGCCAACUGUCUCAGUGGUUUCAGUUGUUUUCACCACUCAGGUUCUUGCUUAAACAGAUCUGAAGCUCUUAGCUCACUUCACAUGGCUAUCAGCAGAGGAAAAAGACUGAGGGAAAAGGACUGCAGAGGAUUUGAGGCAAAUCACAUGGCAGUGUGUCUCUGGUGCAGGAUGUAUAAACACAUGAGGGUUUCGCCUGACCUCACAAAUGCAAUGAGACAACCGCAGUUUUGGAGCAGACAAACUCAGUGACAAACCGAAGCAAGACCUCAAUUUGAUGGGAGAGAGCGGGAUGCAUGUCCUGGUGAGCACCACCUAUCCG
rnacentral:lncRNA from 1 species